rnacentral:rRNA from 1 species
UCCGGUGGCCAUGAAGCUGUGGAACGACCCGAUCCCAUCCCGAACUCGGCCGUCAAACGCAGCGUUGCCGAUGGUAGUGCGGGUAGAGCCCGUGUGAGAGUAGGAAGCUGCCGGAA